CCAUCUCAGUCUAAAUCACCUCACCUUCCUGGUACAAACGGUGGCAUGGGGCUAGACCCCCUGGUAUCCCUACCUUCCUGAGCUCAGUUUCCUGAGUUGUCUGUUCAAACAGCUGGAAAACACAGCUGCCCACCUCAAGUGGACGCUAUGGAGAUUACCCAUGUGCCCCUGUCCUCUCUUCUGAACAUCACGGUUUUACAGACCAGACAAGCAUCCUCACUGAUUCUCAAUGCCCACCCAGGGACAUCUGAAAGCUGUCAUUGCCUUCCUUCUUUGACAAACCAGAUUUCAAAAUGAAACUUGAUACCCCCCACCAUGAACGGCAAGGCAGCAGCAUCACUGGCCACAAAUAGAGAAGCAAAAAAUAAACUGAUUGGUACUGGC